AAGGCUAUACUUUUAAGGAUGAUUUUUAUCGUCUGUGACUAGAGAAAUUUUGCACUGAAAGGUUCGGUCUCAGCAACCAGGAAGAGGAGCUGUGGCGUUUUUUCCCUGAGCGCGAAGUUGUCCACAAGCUUUGUUUUAUCCGAUGGUUUGCGGGCAUUGAUGACCUUUCCCUUCUCUCACUGCGAGAGUUGUGGAGGGAAGAAACGCUGUCUGAGUGGU